rnacentral:rRNA from 1 species
AGCGAACGCUGGCGGCGUGCCUAACACAUGCAAGUCGCACGAGAAAGGGGUCGCAAGACCCCCGGUACAGUGGCGAACGGGUGAGUAACACGUGGGUAACCUGCCCCUGGAUUCGGAAUAACCUGCCGAAAGGCGGGCUAAUACCGGAUGACAUCGCGUGGUCUUCGGACCGUGCGAUCAAAGCUGACCUCUUCAUGAAAGUUGGCGUCUGGGGAGGGGCCCGCGGCCCAUUAGCUAGUUGGUGAGGUAACGGCUCACCAAGGCUCCGAUGGGUAGCCGGCCUGAGAGGGCGACCGGCCACAGUGGAACUGAGACACGGUCCACACUCCUACGGGAGGCAGCAGUGAGGAAUCUUGCGCAAUGGGGGAAACCCUGACGCAGCGACGCCGCGUGGACGAUGAAGGCCUUCGGGUCGUAAAGUCCUGUCGGGUGGGAAGAAAAGGUACUGUGGCUAAUAUCCACAGGUCUUGACUGUACCACCAGAGGAAGCCCCGGCUAACUCCGUGCCAGCAGCCGAC